GCAGUUACAGGUGUGAGCAUCGAUACAGCCGCCUCAUGCUCAUGUAUGAAACUGC
rnacentral:scRNA from 1 species